AAGUAAAAUAAUUUUUUUUAAAACAGAUCAUCUCAAAAAAAAAAAAAAAAGAUCAUCUCAUUGCAAUUGAAAUGGAGAGACUAUCUAUCACCCUUGUUGAUUCUAUGCUGUGUGCCCUGCCCUGUGCCAGGGGGCCUGUAAUUGUCACAACCAGGUGGCAGCAUCACUAGUUUCCAACAUUAAGAGGCUGUGGCAUUUGCAAGUGAGGAGUUAGUAUCACAAAUGGUCACAGGCUUUGGUUACCUCUUCUAGUUUCCCAUCACCUGGAGAUAAUUUUCCAGCAUAUACUGAACAUAUACGCCCUUUGCUUUAGUGUUGCUUCCCCAGUACUUGGUCAUUUGAACCAAAACAAUGAUCUCAUCAAUAUACUACCCUAAUACAUAACUGAAAAUAUGCCAGUCUUUGAGGAUGGGCUCAAGAAAAUCAAUUUUCCCAGCUCUUCCUUGCCUUCCAGAUAUGCCCUGAAAUAGGUAAGAUCAAAAUAAAAUGCAUCAAAGAAUUCAUCCAUGGAAAUCUUUGCAGGAAAUAAUCCCUCAACCAUUGAGAAAGUUAGUCAGGCUCUCAAAACCAGGGUUACUCUCUGCGUGCAAAAGUGUAAUUAAUGUCAAACUAAAACAAGCCUAAGAUGAGGUACUCUCAAACAAAGAAAUGGAACAUAAGGAGAAUUUGAUUUCAAAGGCUAAGGAUGAAUUCAGAAUUAAGCACCGAAAUAGAUGUUCAGGUAUUAACAACUGCUCCUUGUUAUCACCAUCAAAAUGUUCUUGGCAUUGAGGACGAUGAGCCGGUAGCAUGAUUAAGCCGAGCGGACAAAGCUUUAAAGGAACAUUUGCCUUGAAUUUUAGUUUAAGGUCAGUGUGUAUCCUUCUCACAAGGAUAGUUUUCAGAGACAACUUAUUCAUUCAUGUCCAGUACCAAUUACGUUGACAAUGCAACUCCCAUAAAAAGAAGAGGGAGAGAGCUCCCAUCUUGGAUGACCACGUAGCCCCGUGAGGCAAAAUGAGCUUCAGAGACAGACCUGAAUUUAACUUCUUGCUCUGCCCCUCUCUAGCUACAGGUCUUGGGCAAGUGGCAAAACUUCUCAGGGCUUAUGCCAUGCCCUCUCGUUUGUAACGCAAAUACUAACCAGUACUUUAAAGAAAUACCAGGAAAACGAGAGGUAACACGUGAGAUGUGCUUAGGACACAGCGUGGUAAAAGAAGUCACCACAGACAGUAACCAUUAUAACUGAGUAGCAUUCACGUGAAUUGGUUUCUUUGAGCGGCGUCACAAACACCACCCUCUCGUCAAGAUACAGUUCUGUGAAAAAGACAGUUUCUGAACCUGCAGAGCUGUGCACCGUUCUGUGGACACCCUCAAGACUCAGGCAAAAUUAGGCUGCCAUUUUCAACAAUCUCCCCUGUGGCCCAAAGCUUUCCUUACAGUUUAGGGGCCGGCAUCGUUCUACACAGAAAUUUUCAAUGUUAUUGCCAAAAACUCCAUGAAACCAUGUUCUGGGACUCUUAUAUAUCACAGAGAUGGUGCUUAUUAGAUAAUAACCUUAUUUUCCUUUUCUUUACGACUCUAGGGCAGAAAUAACCAGUCUUGAAACGACAUCAUUCACUUACCUGUAAAUAUCUACGGAACACAAGGUGUUAUGUGCUCGGGAUACAAUGCUGGCCUCCUGCUCAGCAGGAUGGGGAGGCAGACAAGGAAAAGGACUGAUAAGUGAAUGAGAGCUAGCCGAGGGAGAAGAUACAGGGGAAGUGCUUUGGGCACAGGGAUUAAAUGCAAGGCUUCAAAGCGGCAGAACAAGAGCCGGUUUUCAUGGAAACCCUGUUUAUAAGAACGACACAGAAUUAGCACAUACAGAGACCAGUUUGACUUGGAGCGGGAGGAAAACAUCGACUUCACUAAUUGGUUUUGCUGCAUAUGCCACUGUGUACUCCAGUUGCUUCAUCUGCUUUGUGCACAGGCAGCUUCAACCUGUGAGUCAAAGGUGAGCUGAGAGGAGAAAACCUCUCCCAGCUUAUGGGUGGCCUCCUAGGUUCAAACACAUAAUGUAGGACCUUGUACUUCUUCAUAGCAUUUAUUGUCACUGUGGUGAACAGUUUUCCCACUGGACUGUCAACUCUAUGAGGACCGUGCCCAUCGUGAGCACUAACACAGCCCCGGAACCUAGUAUAUACGGGCACAUACGGGUGCUCCCUAAUUAUUUCCUAAUCAGUGAAUGGCCUUAGAAACCAGUGAACAGGCUAACAGGAAGUUCCUGGAGCAAAUAUAUUGGCAGCUAGAUAAUUUUUGAGGAAAAAAAAAUUGAGACCUUGCACAGAUACCUGAUUUUUAUCUUAUAAUUUUAAAAUGUGCAUUCUUGUUAAGAACCACUCUACUUGGUUUUCAUCACACUUUAACCUUAAGAUUAAGGGAGAUUUUGGAAACUGGAAUAAUGGUAAUUAACGGUGUAGUUGUAAUUAUAACGAUGCUCGGAGCUAACAUUUAUCAAAGACUUGUGUGCUUCGCCGUGUCCCAGGUUUUAUCCAUAUAGUACUUCACUCCAUUGGCCCCCUAAACCUGUGAGGUAGGUAUCCCAUUUGAGAGGAAGAAGGCACUGGAAGCUGACCAUGAGAACUCCGGUCUGUCUGUGCUCUCGAACAGUUUACACAAACUGUAAAGGAAAAUUCAUCUGAGCACAGGCUCUAUCCUCUUACCAGAUACUACAAACAGCAACAAGCAAAACCAGAUACCGUCCUAAUUCUUUUGGAGUUUAUAGUCUAGUGGGGGAGACAGAUGUUAAUCUAUAACCAGAAAAAUGAGAAAAUAAAUACAACUAUUUUAAGUGUUAUGCAGAAGCAUUCUAUGGUAUUAGGAGGAAUUAGUCAUCAUCAGCUUUCUUAAGCUAAGUUCUCAAGGAAAAGUAGACAUGAACCAGGGAAGGAGGAGAGGAUGAAGCUUCUAAGGAAAAGAGCUGUGUAAAGGUCCUGUGGUAGAAAGAAACAUGUUGCUAUAUGAGGGAAUGAGAAAAAAAAAAGGUGUAAGAGACUGGAAUAGUAAGAGCAAGAGGCCAGAUUUGGCCAGAAAGGAAAGUAGGCUCUAGAGCAGUGGUUUUUCAAACUUGAGUAGACACAUCAUAAUCAUCUGGAGGACCUGCUAAAACAGUGUGCUGGACCCCAUCCCCAGAGUUUCUGAUACAGUAGACUUUGAAUUUGAAAACACACACCUGGGUGAUGUCGAUGCAUUCUUAGACCAUAUUUUGAGAACCACUGCCUUAGACUAUACAGCAUCUGGUAGACCAGGGCAUGGGUUUCUGAUUAUGUCCUAAGGAGAAUGGAAAAUUAUUGAAGGAUUCGAAGCAUGGAGGUCAUGUGACCCAAUUUAUAUCUGAAGGGAAAAAAAAUCACUCUAGCAUCAGGGUGAAGAAAAUACUGCAGGGAGGACAGCGUGGAUGGAGGCAGACCAAUCAGAAGGUAUGUUGCAGUUGUCUAAAAAAAGAGUUGUGGAUUGGACUAGAGUGUGAGACAGAAGCAGAUAGAUUCAAGAGAGAUUGAGGACGAUGAAAUCAGUAGGACAUAGUGAUGAAUAUGAGGGUUAAGAGAGAGAAUAGUUUCCUGGCUUCUACUUGAGCAACUAGACAGUGUUGCUGUUCACCGGGAGACACCCUGGAUGAGGACCCGGCCAGGAGGAGAAGAUUAUGCGCUCAGUCUUGGACUUGCUGAGUGUGAGGUCCCUUUGAGGCAUUCAAAAGAUGGCAAGUAGACAGUUAAUGUACGGGUCUGGAGUUAAGUGGUGAGAUCAAGACUGGAGAUAAAACUGUGAGUCAUGUGAGAAUAUGUGUGAUAUGAAACUAUGGGGGUGGAUGAGAUCACCAGGGAGGGAAACUAGAAUAAAAAGAGUAGAGGGUGUAGGGCUUCUAACAUUUAACUUCUGGGUGGAAGGUGAGCCAACACAUGAGAGAGACAAGGAGUAAUAGGACAAAACUCAGGAAGAAUUGUGCCCUGAAGCCAAGGAAGGGAGGCAACAGUAGGCUGUCAUGCAAGUGAUGCUCAGAAGUCAACUAAACUAAAGACUAAGGAAUAUCGAUUGGAGUUAGGAAGGUAGAGGUGACCAUGAUUAGAGCUGAUUUGGUGAAGGGAGAGAGAAGAGAUGGGGAGUAGGCUAUACCUGAAACCGGGGGUUGGGGGGUGGGGAGAGGGUGUCUCACCCCCAGCCUUUAUUUGCUAUGAUUUUCAAUCUCUCCUCUUUCCAUUUACAGUUCAAAUACAUUAUUUCCCCUCCCUGUUCACUGUCAGAUGAAUCAAAAGUUCACACUUUCCAUUUUUACCUCUCUUUAUUCUUCGUACCACUGCAACUGGACUUCUGAUCUCAUUACAUUUUUAUUGAACACCACAUUCAUUUUGUAUGUGUCGUCUCGGUGCCCAAAAUAGUUGCAAAAUUUUACCAACUCCUAAUUUUCAUCAAAGGAGAUCUCAGCGCCAAGUCCUAGAUCCUGGUCUUAGUUCUCUCAUUGGCCAAUCACCUUCGGAGAAUGGAUAAUCAAGGGAAGAUGUGCUGAUCAGGCCAGGGGAAGGCAAAGACAAUGUCAAGUUAAAGAUCACAGAAGUCCUUUAUCCUACUUGAAGAGUCUGUCUGACUGUCUACGGGAAAAAAAAAAAUUUUGGCUGGCCCCAAUCAGUCCUUGCUCAACAGGAAACUUAAGAGUUUGGGAUUCAGAGCCAGCUUGGCUCUGCAGCUUACCUGCUGUGUAAACUUGGACAAGGUGCUCAACCUCUCUGAGACUCAUUUUUUAUUCAUGGAUAAAACAAACAUGAGAAUAAAUACCUCAAAAUAUGGUUGUAAGGGAUUAACUGUUCAGUUUAGUGUCUUAACUCCCAUUAAGCAAUAAAUGCAUUUUGAUAGUGAAUGCAGUGGGCCCAGCAGACAGAAGGAAUAAUGAAAUGCAAAUGGACAAGAUGGCACUGGUUUCCAAAGUCACCCCUAAUUCCCAAGUAUUUGGGCUUUUCUAUCCUGGUCCCUUGAAAGAACUUUUAAAUUCAUUACACUUUUAAAUUCAUUCA